AUUGAACGCUGGCGGCAGGCCUAACACAUGCAAGUCGAACGAGUGGCGGACGGGUGAGUAAUGUCUGGGAAACUGCCCGAUGGAGGGGGAUAACUACUGGAAACGGUAGCUAAUACCGCAUACCAUCGGAUGUGCACAGAUGGGAUUAGCUAGUAGGUGGGGUAAAGGCUCAACUAGGCGACGAUCCCUAGCUGGUCUGAGAGGCUGACCAGCCACACUGGAACUGCGACACGGUCACGACUCCUACGGGAGGCAGAAGUGGGGAAUAUUGCACAAUGGGCGCAAUCCGGAUGCAGCCAGGCCGCGUGUAUGAAGAAGGCCUUCGGGUUGUAAAGUACUUCCAGCGGGGAGGCGUUACUCGCAGAAGAAGCACCGGCUAACUCCGUGCCAGCAGCCGCGGUAAUCC
rnacentral:rRNA from 1 species